rnacentral:rRNA from 1 species
CACGUAGGGCGCAAGCGUUGUCCGGAAUUAUUGGGCGUAAAGAGCUCGUAGGCGGUCUGUUGCGUCCGCUGUGAAAACUCGGGGCUUAACCCCGAGCCUGCAGUGGAUACGGGCAGACUAGAGGUAGGUAGGGGAGAAUGGAAUUCCUGGUGUAGCGGUGAAAUGCGCAGAGAUCAGGAGGAACACCCGUAGCGAAGGCGGCACUCUGGGCCGAUACUGACACUGAGGAGCGAAAGCGUGGGGAGCGAACAGG